UGGGGAAUUUUGGACGAAUUGGGCGAAAGGCCGAAUCCAGCAAUGCCGCGUGUGUGAAGAAGGCCUUCGGGUUGUAAAGCACUUUUGUCCGGAAAGAAAUCCUUGGCUCUAAUACAGUCGGGGGAUGACGGUACCGGAAGAAUAAGCACCGGCUAACUACGUGCCAGCAGCCGCGGUAAUACGUAGGGUGCAAGCGUUAAUCGGAAUUACUGGGCGUAAAGCGUGCGCAGGCGGUUUGCUAAGACCGAUGUGAAAUCCCCGGGCUCAACCUGGGAACUGCAUUGGUGACUGGCAGGCUAGAGUAUGGCAGAGGGGGGUAGAAUUCCACGUGUAGCAGUGAAAUGCGUAGAGAUGUGGAGGAAUACCGAUGGCGAAGGCAGCCCCCUGGGCCAAGUACUGACGCUCAUGCACG
rnacentral:rRNA from 1 species